UAUAAACAAAGGAGGGAAAUGGAAGAACCAAUAUAUAUGUGGGUGUGUGUAAUGGGAUGUUUCUUGUUUUUCUUUCUACUAUAUUCAUGCUAUUUU
rnacentral:ribozyme from 1 species